UGAGAUAGAGGAUGCGUCGGGCUAACAGUACGGCUUCUGAAAAUGCUAUGCAGAGCAGGGAAGUCAGAAAGGAGCAGACGCCGAGGGUAUCACUGCUGCAGGGGUGAUAUAUCCGGGCGGACAGAAUAAGAUCUGUCUGACUGUCGCAUAAAUAUAUGCGGAGCGCUAUCC
rnacentral:ncRNA from 1 species